CUUCUGCGAUUCAACCACGCUGUCUCCUUCCCUCAGCCCAUCCCUGCCCCUGACUCACAAUCUGAAUCAAGAAUUCUGAGGAUUUCUGUGGCUCCCUGAAGCACAGUCCCUACUAGCUGGUGCCCAGAGGAGAGUGCAGGCAACUGCUUCAAGGAUGAAGUACGGAACUGAUGUUAUGCAUGCUGAAUUUUUUGAGAAUUUAGACCUGGCUAUUUAAGUGUUUUACUGACUACUUGAGCCAAUGAGAAUUGGUCAUGAAGAUACAAUGAUUCCUUUUCCUGUCUGGCAAUUGUUUUCCCAUCUUUUGCUAUAGAGGCUGCUUUCUUCCAAAUCCUGCUGCCCUUGAUGCUUGAGAGAACAGCAAUAAGUUGGGGUUUGGAGAGGCCAUGAGGGCCCCUGUUUUCUUAGUCUCCUUUACAGUUUCAGCAGCAGAUUGGUAAGAGGAAGUAUUCAUCACAGUAAGAUACAAUGGGAAGAAUGGAUUCAUACCAUUAGGUUGUCCUGUUUGCUGUAACAGAGUAUCAUACACUUGGGUGGCUUAUAAACAACAGAAAUUUAUUUCUCACCAUUCUGGAGGCUGUAAUGUCCAAGAUCAAGGCACCAGCU